rnacentral:rRNA from 1 species
GAUGAACGCUGGCGGCGUGCCUAAUACAUGCAAGUCGAGCGAACGGACGAGAAGCUUGCUUUUCUGAUGUUAGCGGCGGACGGGUGAGUAACACGUGGAUAACCUACCUAUAAGACUGGGAUAACUUCGGGAAACCGGAGCUAAUACCGGAUAAUAUUUUGAACCGCAUGGUUCAAAAGUGAAAGACGGUCUUGCUGUCACUUAUAGCUGGAUCCGCGCUGCAUUAGCUAGUUGGUAAGGUAACGGCUUACCAAGGCAACGAUGCAUAGCCGACCUGAGAGGGUGAUCGGCCACACUGGAACUGAGACACGGUCCAGACUCCUACGGGAGGCAGCAGUAGGGAAUCUUCCGCAAUGGGCGAAAGCCUGACGGAGCAACGCCGCGUGAGUGAUGAAGGUCUUCGGAUCGUAAAACUCUGUUAUGAGGGAAGAACAUAUGUGUAAGUAACUGUGAACAUCUUGACGGUACCUAAUCAGAAAGCCACGGCUAACUACGUG